rnacentral:rRNA from 1 species
GAUGAACGCUAGCGACAGGCUUAACACAUGCAAGUCGAGGGGCAGCGGGGGAGUAGCAAUACUCCCGCCGGCGACCGGCGCACGGGUGAGUAACACGUAUGAAACCUGCCCGUAGCAGGGGGAUAAGCGGAAGAAAUUCCGUCUAAUACCGCGUAACAACGUUGGGAGGCAUCUCCCGAUGUUUAAAGAUUUAUCGGCUGCGGAUGGCCAUGCGGCGCAUUAGCUAGUCGGCGGGGUAACGGCCCACCGAGGCGACGAUGCGUAGGGGUUCUGAGAGGAAGGUCCCCCACACUGGUACUGAGACACGGACCAG